rnacentral:rRNA from 1 species
UACGAAGGGGGCUAGCGUUGCUCGGAAUUACUGGGCGUAAAGGGAGCGUAGGCGGAUAGUUCAGUCAGAGGUGAAAGCCCAGGGCUCAACCUUGGAAUUGCCUUUGAUACUGGCUGUCUUGAGUAUGGGAGAGGUUAGCGGAACUCCGAGUGUAGAGGUGAAAUUCGUAGAUAUUCGGAAGAACACCAGUGGCGAAGGCGGCUCACUGGCCCGAUACUGACGCUGAGGCACGAAAGCGUGGGGAGCAAACAGG